rnacentral:rRNA from 1 species
GAUGAACGCUGGCGGCGUGCCUAAUACAUGCAAGUCGAGCGAACAGACGAGGAGCUUGCUCCUCUGACGUUAGCGGCGGACGGGUGAGUAACACGUGGAUAACCUACCUAUAAGACUGGGAUAACUUCGGGAAACCGGAGCUAAUACCGGAUAAUAUAUUGAACCGCAUGGUUCAAUAGUGAAAGACGGUUUUGCUGUCACUUAUAGCUGGAUCCGCGCCGCAUUAGCUAGUUGGUAAGGUAACGGCUUACCAAGGCGACGAUGCGUAGCCGACCUGAGAGGGUGAUCGGCCACACUGGAACGGAGACACGGUCCAGACUCCUACGGGAGGCAGCAGUAGGGAAUCUUCCGCAAUGGGCGAAAGCCUGACGGAGCAACGCCGCGUGAGUGAUGAAGGUCUUCGGAUCGUAAAACUCUGUUAUUAGGGAAGAACAAAUGUGUAAGGAACUAUGCACGUCUUGACGGUACCUAAUCAGAAAGCCACGGCUAACUACGUG